AACUAAAAGAAACUUAAAGGCAGGCAGCUAACGCUAAAGAGCCAAACGGCGAGACUGGGAAAACAACCCCUAAAGUGGCGUCGGCGUUCGGCUGCUUUGCAGCUGCUGGUGUUUCGGACAAGUGUUUGGGACAUAUGCGUCAGCACACGUCAGCCGGUUCUGGCGGACUUUCAGCGGCUGUUGCUUAUACUUUCAGCAGCAACCACCAACAAUAUGAAAUCUUGGGGCAUCUGUGCUUUCAUCUGUAUUACAGGAGUAUACGCGCAACUUGAAUUUAAUAUUCAAGUGCCUAAGCAUGGGGACUUAAUAAGCUUGACGCCCGCUGUUGGUCUAAUUCGCAGCCGCCGUUAUGCCGAGAUCCCUCAAAUGAAUUUCCAGGGAUUAGCUUACGACAACUUGCUAAAUAAUGUGCUCAAUACGACCACCGAGGAGCCAACAACGGUGUUCACUGAACAUACUAAAACAAAAGCAUCCGUUAAAAGUGCGAAACGGCCCCAAAGAAAAUUGCGAAGGUUGAAAACUAUGUCUCCAAACCCAAAUUAAAUAAACAAUAACUAUGCGUAUUGGAUAUAUUUUAAAAAAUAAUACAAUUUGUGUAAAUUG